rnacentral:rRNA from 1 species
UACAGAGGUCUCAAGCGUUGUUCGGAUUCAUUGGGCGUAAAGGGUGCGUAGGCGGCGCGGUAAGUCGGGUGUGAAAUCUCGGGGCUUAACUCCGAAACUGCAUUCGAUACUGCCGUGCUUGAGGACUGGAGAGGAGACUGGAAUUUACGGUGUAGCGGUGAAAUGCGUAGAUAUCGUAAGGAAGACCAGUGGCGAAGGCGAGUCUCUGGACGAUUCCUGACACUGAGGCACGAAAGCCAGGGGAGCAAACGGG